rnacentral:rRNA from 1 species
CUGGGCGUAAGGAUGCGUAGGCGGAUAUUUAAGUCAGAUGUGAAACCCCCAGGCUUAACUUGGGGACUGCAUUUGAAACUGGGUAUCUAGAGUGCAGGAGAGGUAAGUGGAAUUCCUAGUGUAGCGGUGAAAUGCGUAGAGAUUAGGAAGAACAUCAGUGGCGAAGGCGGCUUACUGGACUGUAACUGACGCUGAGGCAUGAAAGCGUGGGUAGCAAACAGGAUUAGAUACCCUGGUAGUCCACGCUGUAAACGAUGAAUACUAGGUGUGGGAGGUAUCGACUCCUUCCGUACCGCCGCUAACGCAAUAAGUAUUCCGCCUGGGGAGUACGAUCGCAAGAUUAAAACUCAAAGGAAUUGACGGGGGCCCGCACAAGCAGCGGAGCAUGUGGUUUAAUUCGAAGCAACGCGAAGAACCUUACCUGGACUUGACAUCCCCUGAAUAACCUAGAGAUAGGCGAAGCCCUUCGGGGCAGGGAGACAGGUGGUGCAUGGUUGUCGUCAGCUCGUGUCGUGAGAUGUUAGGUUAAGUCCUGCAACGAGCGCAACCCUUAUCCUUAGUUGCUACCAUCAAGUUGAGCACUCUAAGGAGACUGCCCGGGUUAACCGGGAGGAAGGUGGGGAUGACGU